rnacentral:rRNA from 1 species
AGUUCGGACUGUAGGCUGCAACUCGCUACACGAGUUGGAAUUGCUAGUAAUCGUGGAUCAGCAUGCCACGGUGAAUACGUUCCCGGGUCUUGUACACACCGCCCGUCACACCAUGGGAGCUGGUAACACCCGAAGUCAGUAGUCUAACCGCAAGGAGGACGCUGCCGAAGGUGGGAUUAGCGACUGGGGUGAAGUCGUAACAAGGUACC